rnacentral:lncRNA from 1 species
CACACUUAAACCGGUGCUUAAUAUCUGAGCAGUUCUGUGUUGUUCUGAGUUAGAAACACUGUUUUAACUCAAAGUUUUAAAUGCAGAAAUGCUGUGGGGUCAGUAACCCUGGGAGAGGGGGAGGAUGGGCACUUAGACAUCAGACCUCAUGAGGUGAAAGAUAGUGUUUGGAAGAAGUAAGUGGCCUGGUGUUCAGUAACAUAUGCCUAACUAUAAACCUUCUCUUUUAUACUUGAGGAAGAAGCUGAAAGCACUGGACACACCUCUGUUUCUGUUGGAGGUCGCUUGCUGAUUUAUCUCCAAUUCACAGCUCAUUAGAAGAAGGGCAGCUUUUCCAUGGUUUUGGUGUUU